UCUGUUUACACCUCAGCCCUGUCUCCAGACUCCGGAGGCCUCAUAGAGAUAAGAUCUACCACAGUCUGUUGGGCUCUUUGUUGUUAAAUCUCCCCCCACAUUGGACCUAUAUUUUGAAGGUGUUUUCCAAAAUGUAGAUUGCUGAGGGAAUAGAGGCUUAAUAGUUCCUGUACUGAUAAGCAUCCCUCUCACAUUUAUGCAGGAGGGAAGCAAAGUUCAGCCCACUGUUUCAUAGAAUCAUAGAAUCAUAGAAUCAUAGAAUGGCCUGGGUUGAAAAGGACCUCAAAGAUCAUCGAGUUUCAACCCCCUCCUGAGUGCAGGGUCGCCAACCACUAGACCAGGCUGUUUCAGAGGCAGAAAACAAUCACUAGGUAAUUUGGACAAUCCAGCACCAUUGGACUCAUUACUGAGUGGUUUUGUUCCUUAAUCAUGGUUUUGGUUUAGAACAUUCUCUGUUCUUGGAACUCCAGCAUUUGAAAGCUACCUGGGCAAUAACUUCCUAAAUCUGCAUCCAUCUUCAGUCGAGGAAUCUGAUCUUGUUCUCACAUUUAUGAUUCCAAUGAAUUCUUCUUUCUUUGUUUCAUCUUGCCUCAGGUUCCCCAUGCAGAAAACCAUCAGGGCUCCAUCUCCACUGUACAGAGCAACUAAGACUCAAAAGGGGAAAGGUUUGAAGGUGCUGAUGCAGCCUUGUUUAACAGUGCUUCACCUUCUGACACACAGCAGUCAUGUAGUGUCUUUUCAAACAGCUUCAGCUCUUCCACCUUUCAGUGACUUUGUCAUGGUUUUGCAUUCUGCAAGUGACUGGAACACCGUGGAGGUAGAUAAUUCUACUUACUUGUGUGAGGGGUCCAAUAAUAAUUAAAUUUGGACAUUAUUCCUUUAAUUACUACAAUUUUGCAUCAUAUUUAGUAUAAUUUGUGGAUAAGAAAUAACAGUGGGAGCCUAGAGGGAAAUUUUUGUUGACUAUCCUCUACCAUUACCCCAGAGAUUGCUUUCUGAGCACUGACACCAUGAGGAGGAAAGGUCUCCAAAGCACAGUUUACCUGCUCACUCAAUUCCAGACUGCAGCAGCCACUGCUAAAAUAAAACAAACAGCAGCCACUGUUGGCCAUGCCGUGGGAAGAGCUGCCAUCAGCUGGAGAGGCCAGUUAGGCUCUGUCAUACACAAGUGGCUGGACCUUGGAGGCUGCCCUUUGUUGGCUCAGUCCCAGAUCCUUUCUUGGAAAAGAAGCAGUGCUGGUCUGGAGGUGCAGCACAGGAGUCAAUCUGCCGCCAUGCAGCAGGUACGUGGGACACAUCAUGUCAGGCCUUUCAGGUGUGCAGGGUGAACAUAUAAGUGAUUUAAUUUAGAUCUCUUGCUCUAAUGAGCGAUUUGGUGGAGACCAGCAUCUUUUCAAUGCCUGUGCUUAAAUACUUAGUGAAAAGAAAUCUGCACUUUAGAGCAAAUUUAGGACACAGAAGUGGACUGUGGGGUCCUGUUGCACUCUGUCCAUGCAGUGCCAUCUCAGUGACUAACUUGGAAAUGGCAGCACACCCCUUGCCCUGCUGCUGAUGUGACCCUGUGAGAGGAUGGCGAUGGUGCUGCAGGGCACAGCUUGCACCCCAACCCUGUGUGUACCCCAGAGGGUCAGACACAUGUACAGGGUCACUAAGGAGGAAAUAUGUUUAAGUCAAGGUGAUAAGAGGUAAUGUCUGUGUUUGGGUGUUUAUUUUUUGAGCACUGGGCUGUUCCCCACUGGACUUCUCGAGGAAGGGAAAAAAAUUACCCUGUAAAUAUUUCCCUAUCACCAAGAACUGUGAAUACAGAAAACAGUACAUCAGUGCUCAUCAGCAAGGGCAAGACCUUUAUGUCAAUGUUCAUUUGUGGAACAAAUGUGCAGUGGCGUCCUCCCUGGGGCUGUGAAUAUCCCCAUUGAGCUGGUGCAGGAAGGACUGCUGCCUGGGGAGCUGGGAAACCUGGGUUAGUGUAAAUAGAGCCAACCCCUUCCUUCCUCCUCGCCAGUCACGUUUUUUUUUAGAAAAUCCAAACGUUGCCUGAGCAUCCCCAUAGCAGAGACAGUAGGGCUGGCCACCUGGCUCCUUUUAUGGAGCUCCUUUUCUCCAGGUGAGGUAGCAGGAAGAGAGGGCUUGUCACUGCUGCAGAUGUGCCACAGCUGCGCCUUCUGGAGAAGAACCAGCUACAUACAGAAACCAAGGGGUGGGGAUCCCACCCACGGCGCUCCCACCCACCCAAGCUCCCUGUGCUCUGGCAGGGCCUGGGGCAAACUCAUCUGCACCAGCCUUGUGUCUGCUGGCUUCCCGAGGAGCCAUGUGUCCCUCGGUGCAUGCAGCACUAUGCAGAACAUGCAAGUUGAAGGUGUGGUGGCAAAGUGGUUCUCCUCCAUCUCAACGUGGGCAGAUCGUAAGACCUCGAUUUUAUUUUCCUGCUAAGCUGGUCUACCCCAGGUUGCUGUGGAACUGUGAAUCUCUUGCAUUUAUCAGCAUUAAAUAGAAGCAAUAAGCUCCUAGCGGUGCCGUGAAGAGCUUUUCUCUCCUGGGUAGUAAAUCUGCAGUAACUCUCUCUUACAGUUUUAUUGAGGCUUAUCAAGUGUUUACUCCAAAGGCAUUUCCGUGCAUUCAACAUUCUUCUAAUUGGGCAGUGACUGGUAACGUCCUCUCCAGACUAUUAGUGCUGUGGUAAAAUUCUUUGUGUUUAGGCAAUAGAUUGUCCAUGUUGCUAACUUGUUGGGUGGAGAGGAAGCAGGGCCCUGUCAGCACAUGGUUUCUUCCAUAUGGAGUCAAACUGUGGAAGAAGGAUCUGGGCUCAGCACAGAAAUUGUCAUUAAUCAGAGUGGUUUGGAAUGAAAUCCCUUUGUAGGGACAUUUGGAAACCUGGAGAGGGAAUUGAGAGAGGGGUGAGCUUGGAAGUUGGCUUGGUUUAUUAGGGGAAACGUGUUUUUUCUCCUGGUUGUUGUGAUGAAGAAAUCCAAAAUGAGAUGGACAAAAAUACAGGAUGGAAGAAGAGUCUCCCAAACUUGCCACAUAACAGCAAAUUCUGUUGGACCCAAUAGAACAGGCUCACAUUUGGGAGAGGUGUGACCUAUGCACGGCCCAGCUCCCAGCAGCAUCUCUGAGCUCCCACAUCUUCCUCUGCCAUCAGAACCUUCCUCUGGCACAGGAUGGGAGAAGAAGGGAGGUGCGGCCGCGCUGAUCCGUGUGCACCUGCACAGCUGGGACCGCUCGUUGUGCCUUCAUCCUAAAGCUACACAUCAUGCUCAGGGGAACACAUCCAGCCCCAAAUCGCAGACCUGGCACCUUGGGAAGUGCUCAGCUGUGAAAACUGACUGGCAGGACAGCUUCGCCAUGUGAAAAAAAUGCUUUGACUUUCUUCUUUUUAAAAGGCACUGUAAAUGGGAGCAGCUGGAUGGAGUCACAGGCACAUUCAGCAGGUACGUGCUUCUCCUGCGCCUUCUGAGUGCUAUUGGAUGGAACGAGGCAUCUGGUGCCGUGCUGAGCUUCAGCCUCGCGGUGAUGUGCGUGCCUCUGUGGCAGGAGGGAUCCGGGAAUCGGAAAUGAGAACUCCUAGUUCAGAGCUGUAAAUGUUGGGGCUGAGGUUUGGCUGCAGUGGGGUCCUACCGUGCUGCUGGAUGAGAAAUUUGGGUUGGGCUAACAGUGAGCACAAGGGGUCUAAUUCCUAAGUUGUCUGAGCGUAGUGCUUUGGGAUCUGCAUUGCCACAAGGUGAGAACACCUUGAGGUGCCCACUGACAUCAGCUGGAUGAGCUGGAUGUGAAAAGAAGUCAGACCAAGGAAGAGCUGAUGAAUUUUCCUUGGUUUUAUUCCCAAUACUUCAGAUGGCAUAGGCUUAGCAAUUUGCUGGAGGGGUGGACUGCAUAGAAACAAUGUGAGGCUUAAUUAAUGUACAAAGUGCUUUGAGAUCUUUGAGGGAAGGUGGAAUACAUGCAGAUAGUUACCUUUCCUCCUCAGAGGCUGUAUUUCAGUAAUGGAUGAAGUGACCCCUAAAACAUAAUAUUAAUUCUGCAAAGCAUUUGGGAGUUCUUACGAAUCAAAGGUGCUAUGCAAAUGCAUUCUCACUUUGCUUUACUGGCCCCUUUGAGCCAGCCAGUGUGCCAUUAGUGGCGAUUCUCAAUUAAUCAGAAUUCAGCCUUCAAAUUUUCUGCAAGUCCAUAGAUAAAUAAAGCAGCAGCCGUAGUUGAUCAUUUAUUUAUAAAUCUAUUUAUAAUCUAUGUUUUGCAUAUUAAUCAAAACCCCUCCACGUGGCAACUCCUGAUUAAGAGCCAUUUUUUUGUCUCAUCUCUCUUGCCCCUAGAUAAUAUGUGAAGAAUUAGAUUAGAAAUAGUUUUUAUAAAUAAAUUAUGAUAAACUCCUGCUUUAUUUAUAUACUCAGACAAAGGUGCCGGUCUUCCAAACACUGGAUUUCUCCCUCCUCUUGGUUGUGCUUCCAUCUCUCUGCCAUGUGGAAAGCUGCAUUGGCAGUGGCAUUCAGACAGGUCCUUUGCAUGGACAGCUCUUCAUUUUAGGUGGAAAAAUGCCAUGUUCCACUUCAGGUGGGAGGUCCAAGGCCUGAGCCAGGGCUGGCAGUGUCAGAAGGAGUUGAGGAGCUCCUGCACACAGAAACUGAAGGGGAAAAGUCGAUAAAUUGGGAAAACAUCUUGCAAGGUUUGGGGCUGUGCAGUGUGAGCUGCCUGAUCUGAAUAGUGUUAGGAAAAAGUGGGAAGAGCUCUUCUGGAAAAGCAGUUCUUGUCCAAACCUGCACUUGUGGAAAAGGGAUAAAUGCAGAUAGUUUGGUUAAGGUUGGUUGGAUAAAGGUGCAGAAAGCAGGCUCCUGCCAGGUCCUUUAAAGUGCAUCUAUCUGGGAAACAGGGAACUCAAGUACCCUAUUGCGAAGUGUAAUUAAACACUGAUAGAAUUACACAUGCUGCAUAUCUGAAUUGGCCUUGGUGGGACCACAAUCAUUUUAUUUUAAUCUAGGGGUUUGAGUUAUUGUGCACAUUACCCAUUGUGUACACAUUUCAGAUCAUUGGAGAAUACAAAGGCUGCAGUGCAACCCGUUGGUAAGAACUGAGAGAACUCACUGGACAGCAUUAACUCCCGGAGUCGUGUAUCUGUGGUUAUGGCCAGGCCUAAAGGGCUGGACGGAAAAGGCUCAGAAUAAAACGUAAAUGCAUUCCGAGUACAGGAAGAAAAAGAAACAAAGGAGAAAAAAUCCCCAGAUUCCAAAGGUCAGGAUGAAGGAGAUCAGGAAUCAGGGGAUGACGAGGGCCAGCAGACUUGGCUUCGCUUCCACUCCUGCCACGUGCUACUGAGCAAGACAAUGUUCUUUGUUUGAUAAAGUGGGAAUAAUAACUGUUGCCUAUAUUAGAAUCAUAGAAUCACCAAGGUUGGAAAAGACCUACAAGAUCAUCCAGUCCCACCGCCAUAUUGUGACAACAGAAGACACCUCAAUAUUGCAGCGAUGACCGUGGUUAUUUAAGUGAGAGUUCUGGUUACACAGAGGCGAUGCUGAAGGUCCUCGCUGUGCCCUGGGACCCUUUCAGCCAACAGCGCAGGGCAGCAGACCCAGGGAGCUGAGGUGUCAUGCAAGGGAGCAGCCGCUGAGUUUGCAGAGGGUUCUUGUCACUGCAGCUUGCCUGAAGACACCAGCUGGACAUUCCUAUGCACUUAAGCUUGAACUGUGAAUACGGAGUUUGAGUUGCAAGCUUUAUUUCCUUAAGGGUCCCUUCUAACUCCAACAAUCCUAUGAUUCUAUUUUGUUGCUCUGUUUUGCACAGGCACCAGUCAGAAGUGGAGGCAGUUCUGUAUUUGCCAGACAGAAUUGAACAGAUCUCCAAUACCGAGUGACAAACACUGACAGAGAGCCAUUCUCCAACCAACCUGGAGUCCCCAAGUGCAAAACAUUUAACUAGAAUAAUUUCGAGCAGCAAAUUUAAGCUAAGAAACGUCGGGAGCUAUUUAUUCAGCCUCGUUUCAGCCGACUGCAGAACUCCAGCUGCAGCUCGGGCUGCUCUCAUUAGCACAGCGCUUCGCUGCUCGCACCCUGCCCCAUCCCACCCGGAGCAUUUCACUGCCAGGACCCAGCACGGUGCUGUGCAGGGCACAGCAUGCAGCCCACAGCACCUGCCCUGCUGUGCUUUAUCUUGUUUAAUGAACACAGCUCCUUCGAUAACUUUAUUGCCCUCUGUGUGUUCCAGGAUCCUUAAUUACUUUCUGCUUGGCAGACGGGAUCCUUUUAUUAUUUUUAUUUUUGUUAAGUAUUACCAGAUUCCUCGAGCAUAGCUAUCCAGGGGGAGAACGUCAUGAUUACUGAACCACAAAUAAACUGCACGAAAAUGAAGGUAAAAGGAACAAAUUUAAAGUCAGUUCUUCUUUCACCAUCCAAAAUUCACUCGCAGAAGGCUGCCCCAUGGAUGCAGGAAGGGGGAAACUCACCCAAAGGCAAUUACAGAUGCGAUUUUAAAUUAUUAUUGUUUUAGCUGCAAAGGUUGUUGGACUGGCAGUGAAAAAGAAAAGCAAGUGAACACGCUGCCUGCUGCUUAGUGCCAACAGCUCCUGAUUACUUCAGCUAAUUUCAGGGCCUGGAAACACUGUUGACAACCUGAUUUCUGAAACAUAGGAAGUGUUAUUUGGUCCUGCAAUCUGCACCACGUCUGUGUCAGGAGUUUCACUGCUGUCACUCGCAGCAACUUUCACUGCUCUGUCGUCAUCUCCCAGAACUAAUUACCUUAAACUGAUGAAAGUAGAUUUUUAAAAGUAAAAUGCUUUCCUAAAUUUGCUUUUCAGGUGCUUUAUGAAGUUGUUUUAGCAUGCUCCAUUGAGCUAUACGCUUACCUACAUCAGAGAGACGAACAGAGCGGUACUAAGGCGUUCUGGAGGCUGGCACCAACAGAGGGAAGAAUUAAGCAAGCAGCAAAAUGUGCUGCCCACAUUGCCCCCACCUUGCUCUGCUUCCUGCAGCUCUCUGCUGCCUUUGCAUCUCCUUUCCAUCUGCUUCCCAUGGCCUGCUGAGAGCCACAUCUCCUCUGCUGCCUGCUGCUGUCACAGCACCCAUUUCUGCCUCCCAUUUCCAGUAGGUGUCUGUAUCAUGUUUGUAUGUGUGUGUGUAUAUAUGUACGUACAUACAAUUUUCCCCAUCAGUCUGCAUCAGUGCUUGCCUUUCACAUCCAAAUAGAAUACUUCAGAGCAUCCCUGUUCUUAAGGCAAACUUCAGAACAUGAACUCUGGCCUUGCUUUAGCAUCUCCUUGAGCUGCCUUCUGCUGCCUCUACUCAGUGACUGUGGUUCUUAUAUAAGCCUGGGUGCAGGACUGGGAAUGGGGAGGAUCUCUGUGUUAGCACACAUUGAACAAAACCUUUGAAUUUUAAAGCAUUCAAUGCAACGCACUGAGGUUUGGAAGGGGUGGGGGGAAAAAUGCUAGCAUUUAAUUUCAGGGGAAAAAAGUUGUCAUUUUGGUAAAAAUGACAGUUAUUAAGUACAUCUGCCAUUUUGCACAGUUACUUGGCACAUGGUUCUUGCUGGGGCGAUGCUUGGAUCAAGCUGACAGUGUUGCUCACUAAGAUAUUGCUGUUGCAAAGGAUGGAAAAGGCUCAGAGGUCAGGAACUGGUGAAACACAUGUCCCAAGAGAUGAAGAAACUUGUUCAGCAGCACGUGGUGCAGUCAGCGUUCUUCUCCUCUCCCAGACACCCCAACAUGUGCUGGGGGCCAUGUGCUUUGCCACAUCACAAAGGAAACCACAGGACUUCGGAUCAGAGGAGCUGCCAGAUGUCCUCGCCUGGCAGAGCACCGUGCGAGGGUCAUGGCUACCAGAGCAGGCUGGCUGCCUCCGUGGGGCACGGUGGGGACAGCACCCAGCAAAGGGGCCACAGAGGAAACAAGCUUAGUGCAAGCACAGAGUAAGAUCUGUGGAUUGGUUGAGUUCAGUGUUGGGAUCUUUUUUUCCCCUUUAAUUGAGGCACUAACUCCCAAGAUUCCGUAAGACCAGAGCCGUGCAUCUGUGCUUUGGCUGAACAUCUUAUUUCCUGACUAGCCCUUUGCCUCUUGGUGCAGUUUGCAAUUUCAAGUCCAGAACUCAGACCUUCAGGACUGCGCCUGCUUGGGAAAAUGUGCUGUUUGUGUAUGGUGGACUUUGUUCUUAUGUAUUCCAUUUUUUUGGAGUGUCACUAAAAGUUAUUAAAGGCAAUGGGUUUGAAGUGA